GGUGGAAGUACUUGAAAUUCAAGAUUUCCGACAGUGUGUCCCUAAGCAUACCUGCACUGAUGAUGAAUUGUUCCUCCUAGGACGUGUUGUUCAGAUGGAAUUUGAGAAAGAAAGCCGGAUCAUCAAGUACGAGACUGCUUUCGACUGUGAAUUGAAGACGUUGGACUUCUUACAAAAGAAGUUUCAUGAGAAUGCAACCCUUCCACCACUCAAACAGAACACAAAGAAGAUAAAUGCUACCAAAAAGCGGAAGCUCAUAGAACUCUUGAUCAGGAAAAUGCCAGAAAACCGAAAAAUAUUCUGGCAAACGUUGCCUGAAUUGGAGACUUCGACUGAUCUCAGUAGCAAUAUGGAGUAGGCUUAAAAGUUGUAAUAAAAGUGCAACUUUAAGAAAUCAGAAAAUAUUUGGUUUUUAUAAUGAAAACUUUAAACUUGACAACAAU
rnacentral:lncRNA from 1 species